rnacentral:rRNA from 3 species
GUCGUAGUCCGGAUUGGAGUCUGCAACUCGACUCCAUGAAGUCGGAAUCGCUAGUAAUCGUGGAUCAGAAUGCCACGGUGAAUACGUUCCCGGGCCUUGUACACACCGCCCGUCACACCAUGGGAGUGGGUUGCAAAAGAAGUAGGUAGCUUAACCUUCGGGAGGGCGCUUACCACUUUGUGAUUCAUGACUGGGGUGAAGUCGUAACAAGGUAACCGUAGGGGAACCUGCGGUUGGAUCACCUCCUUACCUUAAAGAA